AGAGAGAGACAUGCGCGCAUAUCAAUAAGCGGAGGAAAAGAAACUAACAAGGAUUCCCUUAGUAACGGCGAGUGAAGCGGGAAGAGCUCAAAUUUGAAAUCUUCAAGGUUUACCUUGACGAAUUGUAGUUUAAAGAAGUGUUUUCUGCUGAAGUUUCGGUAAAAGUUCUUUGGAAUAGGACAUCAUAGAGGGUGAGAAUCCCGUAUUUGACCAUUAUUUUCAGCUUUGUGAUACACUUUCAAAGAGUCGGAUUGUUUGGGAAUGCAGUCCAAAAUGGGUGGUAAAUUUCAUCUAAAGCUAAAUAUUGGCGAGAGACCGAUAGCGAACAAGUACCGUGAGGGAAAGAUGAAAAGAACUUUGAAAAGAGAGUUAAACAGUACGUGAAAUUGUCAAAAGGGAAGCGUUUGACACCAGUGUUGUUUUCUCGAAAAUCAAUUAAAAAUGGCUCGAUUUUGUAUUGCUGAGACCUUAAAAGCUCACUGUACAUUUUUCGUGUCUUUUUUAAUGCACUUUUCGUUUAACAAGUCAACAUCAGUUUCUUUUGUUGUAAAAGGGUCAUUGGAAGGUGGCUUUCUUUUCGGAGAAAGUGUUUAUAGCCUUUGGCCUCUGCAAUCGGAAGAGACUGAGGUCUGCAGCGUAGACUCUUCGGGGUUAGAUACAUUUGUGCUAAGUUAUAGCUUUUUAUAGACAACUUGUUGACUAUAAUUAGUCUUGUAGCUUACUCGCUUAUGCUAUUUUACCUACGCUUAGGAUGUUGAAGAUGUAGCACAUCAU
rnacentral:rRNA from 1 species